rnacentral:rRNA from 1 species
UACAUGUGGGGCAAGCGUUGUUCGGAAUCACUGGGCAUAAAGGGUGCGUAGGCGGCGCGACACGUUUUGGGUGAAACCCUGCGGCCCAACCGCAGGACUGCCUGGAAUACGGUCGUGCUUGAGUGCGUGAGGGGCGACUGGAACGCGUGGUGUAGCGGUGAAAUGCGUAGAUAUCACGCGGAAGGCCAACGGCGAAGGCAGGUCACUGGUACGCAACUGACGCUGAGUGCACGAAAGCGUGGGGAGCAAACAGG